UGCCCAUGAUUUUUUCCUUUGAUUUAGAGGAUUUUCCAUGUAAAUCUUAAGUUUACAUUAAUCUUUACUUUUUUUCAAUUUCUCUUUUAUUUAGCGUCUUGCUACAAUAACAUUUUCCAAGAGAAGGAUAAGGACAAUUACUAGCACGCAAGGUUCAUGCACAUACAUUAUGUUGUUGAUAGCAUGUAUUUAUCCAAAAAUCUGCCGGCUAAAUCUAGACUUUCU
rnacentral:lncRNA from 1 species